rnacentral:rRNA from 1 species
UACGGGGGGGGCAAGCGUUGUUCGGAAUUACUGGGCGUGAAGGGCUCGUAGGCGGCCAACUAAGUCAGACGUGAAAUCCCUCGGCUUAACCGGGGAACUGCGUCUGAUACUGGAUGGCUUGAGAUUGGGAGAGGGAUGCGGAAUUCCAGGUGUAGCGGUGAAAUGCGUAGAUAUCUGGAGGAACACCGGUGGCGAAGGCGGCAUCCUGGACCGGCAUUGACGCUGAGGCGCGAAAGCCAGGGGAGCAAACGGG